GAUGAACGCUGGCGGCGUGCUUAACACAUGCAAGUCGAGCGAGAUUGUUCUUCGGAAUAGUCUAGCGGCGGACGGGUGAGUAACACGUGGGCAACCUGCCUGUAGAGGGGGAUAGCCUUCCGAAAGGAAGAUUAAUACCGCAUAAUGUUAUUGAAAGGCAUCUUUCGAUAAUCAAAGGAGCAAUCCGCUACAAGAUGGGCCCGCGGCGCAUUAGCUAGUUGGUGAGGUAACGGCUCACCAAGGCGACGAUGCGUAGCCGACCUGAGAGGGUGAUCGGCCACAUUGGGACUGGGGCACGGCCCAGACUCCUACGGGAGGCAGCAGUGGGGAAUAUUGCACAAUGGGGGAAACCCUGAUGCAGCAACGCCGCGUGAGUGAUGACGGCCUUCGGGUUGUAAAGCUCUGUCUUUGGGGACGAUAAUGACGGUACCCAAGGAGGAAGUCACGGCUAACUACGUGCCAGCCGCCGCGGUAA
rnacentral:rRNA from 1 species